AUGAGUGACCGGGAUCGCAUCCCCCGGGUCGCAUCCCGGGCCUCGCCCGCCCGGCCAGGCCUGCCCGCGCCGCUCCACUCACCGCGGCCUCGGGGCUGCCGCGCCGCCCCGGCGCUGGUCAGCGGCCCCGCCGCCGCCGCCUUCUCUUCCUCUUCCUCCUCUUCCUCCUCCAGCCCCGGCCGCCGGCCCGCGGGCUCCCAUGCCCGGGGCUGCGGGGGCCCAGCCGGCCGGGCCGCCGCACCGCCGAGAGCCGCAGGGAGACGGGGCCGCGCCCGCACGCCGGCUCCGCCCGCCGCCGCCGCACCGGGGGGCCGCCGCCGCCGCCCGCCCCGGAGCCGGCAGGGCAGUCCCGCGGGCACCGGGCCACGGACGCGGCUCCCGCGGGUGCGGACACUCCCGGGGGCGCGAUGCCUCCGGCCCACGAGAUGCUCAACCCUCGGCCCCAGGCGCGGCAGCGGGACCCUCCGGGACACCGGCGCAGCGUGUCCCGGCCUUUUUCGUUCCCUCGCUCCGCGUCGCCGCAAGGCAGCGCUUCCACGGACCCACCUGUGGCGACUCCCACGCUCCCGGCCGCUGGUGCUGGCUCAGCGUCCCUUGCAACCUAUUUGUGGCUCCUUCCCCCACCACCACCUUUUCUGUUUCAUUGCGAGGAAACACUGGGAAUCUCACUCUCCUUACCACAAUGGCAUCGGUGAAAGAUCGUGGUUUGGUCCCACCACAAGUUUGGCCCGCCACAAGUAUUUUUUGCUCUGUCUGCAGCCUUUCCCUUCUACCACCUGCUCAGCUCCCUUCCCCAGCACUUGUGCCUGUUUGGAGCAACCCUGUUCCCUGAGCACCCUCCUCCUGCCAUGCCUGGCUACUCACCCAAGCGAGGACUUUGCAGCUCCCUUCAGGAACUCCCUUCAGCAGACAAGCUUUCAGAAGAGAACCGAAUGGCAGUUACCCAGCCCAGCCCUGUUCCACCCCUGCAAACAAGCCCUGCUGAAAGCAGUCCAACUUAUGCCUCCAGCUCUUGGUUUGGCUCCUCAGCAGGUGGCAUUUUUCUCAUCAGUACCUACACAUGGUUACCAAAAUAUCUUUUAA
rnacentral:lncRNA from 1 species